UGGCGCAGGAGGAUGGGCCGUCCCUCGG
rnacentral:sRNA from 1 species